UUAAAUACAAAAAAUUUCUUUUAUUCUCUUCUUUGUUCUUAUAAACAGUAUUGAUAUUUAAUAUGAAAUCAUUAUCAUUAGAAUAAAAUAAAGGAAUGAGUUAAGAUAAAAUAACACACUGAUUCUUAUCUUUAUGUUUGUUUGACUGCAACAUGAAUAAUUGCAAUUUGUUAGGCGUUUCCCUGGCAACUCUACUCGAGUUAUACGCGACUUUUACUUUAGUAUAAAGUAAAAUUGCUUAAGUUCACUUUUGUCUUUUAAAUUAUUAUUUAAAUUAUUUCAAUCUUAUAUAUUCAAUCGUGUAUUCUUGAUCAAUUUUCUAUCAGAAACAUUUUUGAAGAAUUUCAUCGUUCAUUAGAUAAUUUGGUGAUUCAAUAAAAUCGAACAAAUAUCACAAGUAUUCAAUAAAUUAAUAAUAGAAUAAUGUAAAAAUGGCAAAGAUGUUUAUUGUUAUAGCAUAAUAGAAUUUAUCUUUUUUCAAGUUUGAAGGGUGUUCGACCUGUAAUUAUCGUGUUUAGAAAUGAUAUAAAUCUCGGAAUCACGAAUGAUAAUGAUGAUACAAUUGAUUUGAAAAAAAAAUCGGUCUAAAUUUUUGAUUAUUUAAAGUUUUUUAGCCAUAUGGAUAUUAAUUAUAGAGUAAAUAUCGGCAAAUGGUUGCCAUUUCCGAGUGAUAUUCUUGAGAAAUGGUUCGCAAACUCGUCGAUGCUUACAAAGAGAAUGGACAAUUUUGUGGAAAAUAUAGCGUUAAUUAUUCGAGAUAUUGCAGACGCUCAGACAUAUGAUAUAAAGAUAUACAAUGGAAUCGCAAACGAUUUAGAAGAGAUAAAGGAAGAAUAUAAAUCGAUCAGUACGACAAGUGUCAGUGCACAUCCAAUUUAUAAUUACAAAAUGAGACAUUUUUUGAUGAUGUUGAAACGAAAACUGAACGUCCUCGCGAGAUUUGUUCGCAACUUGAUUAACGAAAUCGUCGAUUGCAAGAGCGACGAGCUACUUAAGAUAAUUUUCAGGUUGGUGAACAUUUAUAACGAUAUACUGGAUAUAGAUAUCGAUGUCUCUAUGGAUGCUUCUACGAAUGUGUUCUGUAACAAUUGUCCUUAUAUGUUAGAACCGAUGAAGAAGAUAUCUGUUACACGAAUAUUGCAGAUACUGGCCAAAAACAAAGCCGAAGAAUCCUGCCAUGAACUCAUCGACUGCCUUUUAACAAAUUACGAACCUCAGGAGAAGACCGAUCCUUCUUCAACCAUUUCUGGUGAUGCUGAUGUUUCGGACAAUUCGAGUAUUGAAAUUUAUCGAGCUCUUACGAGACAUUUGACGCCACCGAUCGAGAGUUCUUCGUCGAGGACGGAACCACCGGAAGUGUCGAAUAUCGAAAAUAUUCAGACGUUGGUCAAUACUCAAGACAAGUACGUUCUUAGGCUGUUGAACGUUGCGCAAGAAAUUUCGCCUAAAUUGUUGGGCACAGAUGCUCUGAAGACUACCAAUGGUGAAACGAGGCUGAGACGUAGCGCGUUAAAGAAGGUGAAGAAUUAUUACCAAGAAGUCGCAUGGGGCGCUUUGUCGAGCAUUCUGGAUCACGUGGUCCUCUGGUGGUCUCCCGAGGCUCUCGCGACUCGUCACAGUCACGGGGCACAGCAAUUGAAGGACUGGCUCAGUCAAUUCAUCCAAAAAAAUCACGUGCCACAAACGGUGAGGCCAGCAUUGCAAAAUCUCUGCGAUGCUCUUCGUUGUCAUGCCACAAUCACCGAAUGGGAUCAAUUAUUUAGACUGGCCUACACCUCGGCUUUCAAGUGCCAGUCGAAAGCUUCCUCCACGGACGGGUCUGACACGGGCCAAAUGUUCGGGGAAUUGUUCCAAUUGCUCGUCAGAUUGAGCAACGAGUGCGAGGCAGGCGGUGAAUGGGUGAUAGGUGCCCCGUUGAUGGAGUUGCCACUGUCGGAACAGAUCGUUGUUCUUCAUCGGUUGGAUCAUUCGGUGCACACAGCGAGGCUUUGGAUAGUGCAGGAGGCGAAAAUCAUAGCGCAUACGUGGGAACUGGAUGUGUUCUUCCUUUUGGUAAAAGGUGACAUAGUUAAUUGUCUCGAGGAGCUUUCUUACUUAAAGCUUGCCGAUCACAUCAAUGCAUUAUCGACAGAUUCUGUGAGCGUCCAGGUAUACGUUUGCGCAAAAAUGAGGGCGAAAAUUGUAUCCGAGGUGAACGUGAACAUAGAUCUACUUCAGAAAUGUUCCACCAAGUGUACGGAUAUUCUGGCGAAGAUCUGCCGCGUGGUCAGCCUGGCAAAUUUGCAUAUGUGCUUUCCAAGGCCGAGUUAUUGGAGGAAAGGUGGCGACGUCGCCCCGGUGGCGGCUAGCCUCUACGUGCAGCCUUACUUCGAGAAAGUACUGCUCCCUGUAUUGGAAGUUAUCGAGGAUCCCGACACGUCGAACAUGAUCCUGAAAAUUAUGUGCGAAGCGUGGCUGGAUUACAUAUAUCUGCAUCGAAUUAAAUUUAGAACGUACGAGAUCAUCUUUUAAAAAACGAAGUGUUGCGAAGAUGCGAGGGGGUUGGACGAUUGCUUCUUCGACAUCCUGGCGAGGCUAUCUCCAUGCGGAAACGACUCGCUAGAAGAACAAACGAGCGUGGAUCGCCAGAAUCACCUGGAUUGGAACGCAUGCCGGCGGAAAUGUACGUGCCCAACCAGGAACAAUGGUUGGAGCUUCGCGCCUCGAAGAGAUACAAUUUUUGCUGUACCGAAUAUUGACCAAAUAAUAUUUCAACGAAUUUAUUAU
rnacentral:misc_RNA from 1 species